CGGGGUGCACCAGGCGCGAAAACUUUACAAUGCGGGAAACCGUGAUAAGGGGACACCGAGUGCCAGCAUCAUAUGCUGGCUGUCCAGGUGUGUAAAAUACACCUGUUAGCAAGGGCCGGGCAAGACCGGUGCCAGCCGCCGCGGUAACACCGGCGGCCCGAGUGGUGAUCGUGAUUAUUGGGUCUAAAGGGUCCGUAGCCGGUUUGGUCAGUCCUCCGGGAAAUCUGAUAGCUUAACUAUUAGGCUUUCGGAGGAUACUGCCAGACUUGGAACCGGGAGAGGUAAGAGGUACUACAGGGGUAGGAGUGAAAUCUUGUAAUCCCUGUGGGACCACCUGUGGCGAAGGCGUCUUACCAGAACGGGUUCGACGGUGAGGGACGAAAGCUGGGGGCACGAACCGGAUUAGAUACCCGGGUAGUCCCAGCCGUAAACGAUGCUCGCUAGGUGUCAGGCAUGGCGCGACCGUGUCUGGUGCCGCAGGGAAGCCGUGAAGCGAGCCACCUGGGAAGUACGGCCGCAAGGCUGAAACUUAAAGGAAUUGGCGGGGGAGCACAAGGGCAAU
rnacentral:rRNA from 1 species